UCUGAUAAAUAGCAAGCGCCUACAUU
rnacentral:piRNA from 1 species